rnacentral:tRNA from 1 species
GCCGGGGUGGCGCAGUUAGGUAGCGCGCUCGGCUGUUAGAUCCACAGAUAUGGAUGAAGAGCGAACCUCCAUGUUCAAAACUCGACAUGUCUGAUAUGGAAACCGAGCGGUCGGAGGUUCGAGUCCUCCCCCCGGCG